rnacentral:rRNA from 1 species
CCUACGGGAGGCAGCAGUGAGGAAUAUUGGUCAAUGGCCGGAAGGCUGAACCAGCCAUGCCGCGUGAAGGUCAGUGCCCUAUGGGCGUUAAACUUCUUUUGUGCGGGAGCAAUAAUGGUCACGUGUGGCCAGACGAGAGUACCGUACGAAUAAGCAUCGGCUAACUCCGUGCCAGCAGCCGCGGUAAUACGGGGGAUGCAAGCGUUAUCCGGAUUUAUUGGGUUUAAAGGGUGCGUAGGCGGUGAGGUAAGUCAGCGGGGAAAUGCCCCCGCUCAACGGGGUGAAGUGCCAUUGAUACUGCCUUGCUGGAAUGCGGAUGCCGUGGGAGGAAUGUGUGGUGUAGCGGUGAAAUGCAUAGAUAUCACACAGAACACCGAUUGCGAAGGCAUCUCACGAAUCCGCGAUUGACGCUGAUGCACGAAAGCGUGGGUAUCAAACAGGAUUAGAUACCCUAGUAGUC